AUUGGGCUUCUUUCUUUCUUUGGGAAAAGAUAUGCUUUUAAGAUGUGUAGUUUUUUAUUUAACAUGUAGUGUAGUGAAAUCCCCAAAGUCUCCUCGUCAAUUCGCGCUCCAGCUCAAUAGGUGGCGCUAAAAUGCAGGCCCACCGCUAAAAGCACCAAACACCAACGAAGAAGAGCCGAAGCCGCGAUAUACGUGGAGUCGUAAAUGGCGGCGUGAAAAGGAGAAAGAGCGAGCCGCUGUAACAGAGUCGUGUCAUGAGGCUUUUUUCGCCCAGUGAUGACAUCGAAAGAAAUCCUGUCAGAAGUAAACAGGUAAAAAAAACAACAACACAAGGUUAAGGGAAUAAAGCUGGACUGGUUCUCUUACAUGAAGUUCAACAGAAAUGUGAGGAUCUGUCCAGAUCCCAGCUCUUCAGAUCACAAACCAGAGGGAAAUCCCCAAACCUCUAAAGCAAUUCUCUCGAAGACGGACUUCCUCUGUGAGGUCUGAAAAUUUCUUUUGUGAGAAAACUGAUGUUCAGUAACUUCACAGACAUCCAACAGAAGAAAAGAGGUUUGGGAGUGAGAAAGGGCUCUCGGAAUGAAAGAAACUGGGACGUGGUGGACUCGCCGCAAACGGGGUCAGGGAGUACUUCCUGUGUCGUGUCCAAAACUCGCUUCCUUUCCUCUGAAACGGGAGCGCUGAAAACAAUGGAGACCUGACGUACAAAAGAGAAGGAGGAAAAGUUCUCACAGCACCAAAGCACCUCAGUGAAUCUGUUGAAAUGUGAAAUUUUAAUGCAGAAUAAA